rnacentral:rRNA from 1 species
UACCAGCACCCCGAGUGGUCGGGACGUUUAUUGGGCCUAAAGCAUCCGUAGCCGGUUCUGCAAGUCUUCCGUUAAAUCCACCUGCUUAACAGAUGGGCCGCGGAAGAUACUAUAGAGCUAGGAGGCGGGAGAGGCAAGCGGUACUCGAUGGGUAGGGGUAAAAUCCGUUGAUCCAUUGAAGACCACCAGUGGCGAAGGCGGCUUGCCAGAACGCGCUCGACGGUG